rnacentral:rRNA from 1 species
UGAGGAAUUUUGCGCAAUGGGGGAAACCCUGACGCAGCAAUGCCGCGUGAGUGAAGAAGGCCUUCGGGUCGUAAAGCUCUGUCAGAUGGGAAGAAGUUAUUAAUUAUUAAUAGUGGUUAGUAUUGACGGUACCAUCAAAGGAAGCACCGGCUAACUCCGUGCCAGCAGCCGCGGUAAUACGGAGGGUGCAAGCGUUAUUCGGAAUCAUUGGGCGUAAAGGGCGCGUAGGCGGUAUGUCAAGUCAGAUGUGAAAUCCCGGGGCUUAACUUCGGAGGGUCAUUUGAAACUGACAUACUUGAGUUCGGUAGAGGAAAGCGGAAUUCCUGGUGUAGCGGUGAAAUGCGUAGAUAUCACGAGGAACAUCAGUGGCGAAGGCGGCUUUCUGGCCCGAUACUGACGCUGAUGCGCGAAGGCAUGGGUAGCAAACG